AGGAGCCAUGAGUUGUCCCGACCAACUUCAUACUUGAGUGUGCACAUCUUGAGGAAUAAGCAAAUGACUUAAUAUGCCAAGCCUUGCUGUGCAGUGGAUCCCAUUGAAAAUGAAGAAGAUUGGAAGAAGGCUGUAUCCAACAUCAAUACACUUUUGGACAAAGCUGAUCGAGUGUAUCAUCAGCUGAUGGGACACCAGCCGCAGCUGGAGAAGCUGCUCUGCAAAGUGAAUCAGGCAGCUCCAGAAAAGCCACAGGAUGACUCAGGAACGUAAAUCCAGAGAGAAAGGCACUCUGAUGGUCUUUAUUUUCCAGAUGAAGAAACUAAGGCAAAGCAAGUCUAAGUAUCUCAGCCAAGGUCUCACAUCUGAUACAUGGGUUUAGUAUUUGUCCUUGAAGAGUUGUCAACUGCAAAACGCAAAGAAAAUUGUAUAUCCAAUUAAAGUAAGGUGAAACACAACUGUCAAAUAAAAGCCAUUAACCCCCUGAGUACCA
rnacentral:lncRNA from 13 species